rnacentral:rRNA from 1 species
UACGUAGGGUGCAAGCGUUGUCCGGAAUUAUUGGGCGUAAAGAGCUCGUAGGCGGUUUGUCGCGUCUGCUGUGAAAACGCGAGGCUCAACCUCGCGCCUGCAGUGGGUACGGGCAGACUGGAGUGCGGUAGGGGAGAUUGGAAUUCCUGGUGUAGCGGUGAAAUGCGCAGAUAUCAGGAGGAACACCGGUGGCGAAGGCGGGUCUCUGGGCCGAUACUGACGCUGAGGAGCGAAAGCGUGGGGAGCGAACAGG